CUAGAUCAGUUCAGGAAACUACUGAAAAGAAACUUCAGUUUAAACCUUCGAAACAUUCAAAAUUUCUGACGCAUCAGAGAAUUUCAGACCGACGGAUCAUCCAUACAUAAUCAAGGUUACUCGACUCACAAAUAUACUGGAAACUAUUCCGCAACCUCAAAACUUUCCACUAUUUGCAUAUAAUUCGAAACCACUUAAAUCAUGGAGACACGAACAUGAGACAAUACACUCUUACUAGGUGUUUACUUUAUCAGACAUGAAAUCCUCUGCUUAUAUUGUUCAUUAUGCACUAUUGUCUUUCUUUUUUUCUUUUUAAUUUCGGCUGCUACAUUGUUUGUGUAAAACAUACUAACAUAGAUUUUUUUUGGCAUGUGAGUUGUCAAUAUACCCAGUCCAGAGAUGUCUGGCAUAUGGAACAGCAUCCAACAUCACCUACACAAGAUAGACUGGCAAGGUUCAGCAAGUGCAAAAGAUGAACUAAUCGAAGCAACACUGUGCUUUAGCUAAAAAGCCAAGGACGACAUUGUGAGGUAAAUAAUCCUCAUGACAGGGCGGUUCAUGUCCUUCAAGGAUUGCUGGAGGAAGAUCAUCCCUGAUGGAAAUCUACAACUGCAUUUGCCCAUGCAUAAAAGGAGUACACAGGCCAUGAGGCAAUCAUGAUCGUCGCAGCAACAAGAGUUCGAAUAGAUUAUGUGCUGUCAGCUAUAACCGGUGCAGCGGGAAAAAUGUGUCGUUGUUGGUGAUGUCACACACGAUGCUAUCGACGCUGACAGCAUAACAUUCCAUCUCAGAUUCUGAAUUAUCGACACUAUUGAUCCAGUAAUACCAUCCAGCAGUAUAUCCAAACUUCCAACAAACAGUGAGAAGUCAACACAGCUUGAUUUUAUUCGGCCAUGUAAUAGAUUCAUCAGCAAGCAACAAAAUCUCAGAGAAAACACCUGCCUAAGACAUCAUAGACUCAACCGAUUCAGCUCUAGGAGAGAACAUAGGCUCCACAACAGAAGGCAGAACGAGGAAAAACCAAGAAUCAGCCGCUACAUCGG